rnacentral:rRNA from 1 species
UACGUAGGGUGCAAGCGUUAAUCGGAAUUAGCUAGGGCGUAAGCGUGCGCAGGCGGUAAUGUAAGACAGUUGUCGAAAUCCCCGGGCUCAACCUGGGACUGCAUCUGUGACUGCAUUGCUGGAGUACGGCAGAGGGGGAUGGAAUUCCGCGUGUAGCAGUGAAAUGCGUAGAUAUGCGGAGGACACCGAUGGCGAAGGCAGCCCCCUGGGCUAACACUGACGCUCAUGCACGAAAGCGUGGGGAGCAAACAGG